GAUGAAGAACGUAGCGAAAUGCGAUAAGUAAUGUGAAUUGCAGAAUUCAGUGAAUCAUCGAAUCUUUGAACGCACAUUGCGCCCGCCAGUAUUCUGGCGGGCAUGCCUGUCUGAGCUUCAUUUCAACCCUCAUGCCCCUAGGGCGUGGUGUUGGGGAUCGGCCAAAGCCCGCGAGGGACGGCCGGCCCCUAAAUCUAGUGGCGGACCCGUCGUGGCCUCCUCUGCGAAGUAGUGAUAUUCCGCAUCGGAGAGCGAUGAGCCCCUGCCGUUAAACCCCCAACUUUCCAAGGUUGACCUCAGAUCAGGUAGGAAUACCCGCUGAACUUAAGCAUAUCAAUAAGCGGAGGA
rnacentral:misc_RNA from 1 species